UAAACACGUUUGAUCCAUUCUCAAUUAUCCUCAUCGAUUAGCUUACAUAAUAAUCGCGAACUAGUUACGAGGACGUCUAAAAUCACUCAUCGUUGUGACGUCUCCGAAAUAAAAUCGUCCAACUCGUUCUCACGGAUUCAAUUAUACAGGCCUUGUCCCAAGAGUACGAUCGAACGGAGCAGUUUAAUCGAGUAUAAUGAUAGCACAACUUUCGAAAAAUUAUACUGACGACUGGUUUGGGAAAAAAAUGGUCAAAAUGGUCGGAAAAAAAAGAAACAUAUACAAAACAAACUUAUUUAAAUGAAUAUUAUCAGCUUGUGUAAUCAUCUCAUCGAAACCCCUAGCUAAAUAAAUACUUUCUUUCGUAUGUCAUUAUUGAAAUAUGUAUUCCGAUAGGUCAUUCAAGAUCGCAGAACCAGAUAUAAGACGGUGUUUUUUUGUUUCUUCUUUUCUUCCUAACGAAUAUUAAUUGCCCGUGUGUAUAAUGCAAAGUAUAUAAUUUAUAAGGGUAAAACGGUACGUCAAUCACCAUUAAAUAGAACGGUGAUAAAAAGGGUGAAGAAUAGAGAACAAAUAAGAAAAUUAUGUACAUAAAUCAUUGCAGUCAUCACCAAUGCCUGCUUUACGAUUUAUUAUCAGACGUUCAUUCGUCGCGUAUUAACGUAACCGAUCUGCAAAUGCACAUAAGCGAUCUAUACACGGAGGGAAAGGAUUUAUUUCAGUAAUGUGAUAUUCGUUUGAUUAAACUAAAUGCUAUAGUCAAAUACGGUAAACUACUUUUGUCGGACUUAAUACGUAAAUAAAUCAUGCCUUUGAAUGAUCAUGGGUAUUACGCAUUCCUGACUUGGAUCAGUUAAUCCGAUAGCGAAUUUAAUGCACGUUAGCCGAAUCUGAUUACGAGGCCGACUACCCAGUUUUAUAACAAUCUCUGAAGCUACUUUCAUAGCGAGAAAGCUCACCGCCUAGUGGCCGUUUACAGUACUAGUAUACCGAUACUUACGAUGAAUACAUUCGCUACUUGUUCGAUCACGACAAGAAAGCCAUUUUUGUUGAAUCAAGGAAUUCGCUUGACUAAAUCAUUUUGACAAACUACCU